UGGGGAAUAUUGGACAAUGGGCGCAAGCCUGAUCCAGCAAUGCCGCGUGUGUGAAGAAGGCCUUCGGGUUGUAAAGCACUUUUAUCAGGAGCGAAACGCUGUCGGCUAAUACCCGGCGGAACUGACGGUACCUGAGGAAUAAGCACCGGCUAACUUCGUGCCAGCAGCCGCGGUAAUACGAAGGGUGCAAGCGUUAAUCGGAAUUACUGGGCGUAAAGCGUGCGUAGGCGGUUUCUUAAGUCUGCUGUGAAAUCCCCGGGCUCAACCUGGGAAUGGCAGUGGAUACUGGGAGGCUAGAGUGCGUCAGAGGGUGGUGGAAUUCCCGGUGUAGCGGUGAAAUGCGUAGAGAUCGGGAGGAACAUCAGUGGCGAAGGCGGCCACCUGGGACAACACUGACGCUGAGGCACGAAAGCGUGGGGAGCAAACAGGAUUAGAUACCCUGGUAGUCCACGCCCUAAACGAUGCGAACUGGAUGUUGGUCUCAACUCGGAGAUCAGUGUCGAAGCUAACGCGUUAAGUUCGCCGCCUGGGGAGUACGGUCGCAAGACUGAAACUCAAAUGAAUUGAC
rnacentral:rRNA from 1 species